rnacentral:miRNA from 1 species
CAUAUACUAUUAGAUUGGUGCAAAAGUAAUCACAGUUUUUGCCAUUACUUUCAAUAGCAAAAACUGAUUACUUUUGCACUAACCUAGUAACA